ensembl:lncRNA
GGGUACUGGUACAGAGUCAAUGUGGAGGCUAUAUACAAGGGGUACCGGUACAGAGUCAAUGUGGAGGCUAUAUACAGGGGGUACAGGUACAGAGUCAAUGUGGAGACUAUAUACAGGGGGUACAGGUACAGAGACAAUUUGGAGGCUAUAUACAGGGGGUACAGGUACAGAGACAAUGUGGAGGCUAUAUACAGGGGGUACCGGUACAGAGUCAAUGUGGAGGCUAUAUACAGGGGGUACCGGUACAGAGUCAAUGUGGAGGCUAUAUACAGGGGGUACUGGUACAGAGUCAAUGUGGAGGCUAUAUACAGGGGGUACCGGUACAGAGUCAAUGUGGAGGCUAUAUACAGGGGGUAAAG